CUAAAUGAGUUUCCACCCCUUUUUCCGGCUUCUUAGGGGAUGCAGAACGGCAGCCCUUUCCACUAAACAGAACCCCGGGUGUGGACAUUUUGACAUCAGGCCCACCCCCAAAACGCAUGGUGCCUGUGCCUAGAUCUAACUGGCAGCCAAUGUCUCUGAGGAAGUCUAAGCCCAGGAUACAGGGGUCCUGCACACUAGCUACCCACACUAGGUGUUUUACUGUCUUACCCCCCACAGUCAGUGACAUCAGUUUUUUUCCUAACAUAGGAGCAGUCUCACCGGUAACAGUUCGCAGUUGCACAGCAGUUGGUUCCCAAGCCACCCACUCAGGAACAAUGUCCGGCCGCACAAUCGUCACAGUGGACCCAGUGUCCACCAAGGCUGUACACCCUGUCCCCUCCACCGCAAUUGGUAUGUGACAGAAGUCGCCAGCCGUCGUGCGCCCCACCACAACAAUUCUAUUUGAAUUUCCCCUCCCUUUCCCUUGAGUGCCCUGUAGCUGCCUGGUAUGUGGGGGCGUGUCUAUGGUCCGUACCGCCCCCUCUGUACGAACCCCUUCCCGUUUCCCUGGGACUUGGUAGCUGAAGGGCAGUCACGGAGCAAAUGACCGGGCUGGCCACACCCCCAGCAGGCUAAGGGGCCAGAACGCCGUCUGCGCUGCUCAUUGGCCUGGGUCGAAGCAUGCAAAGACAUGGCACGGAUAAGCUCUGUCAUUUCAGUCGCCCACGUCGGCUUUUCCUCUCUCACCGUGCAUGGUUCCGCCGUUCUCACCACCGCGGAAUCUCCUGCUCUCCUCCCGGCAGCCUCCCCCCAGAUGACCUCGUUCCUCCUCGCUACCUCGAACGCCUCCUGCAGCGAACGUGGUCCCGCCAGCUGGGUUUGUGCUCGCAGUUCCGGAGGAGUCAAAGCCAAGAUGAAACGGUCGCGGGCUAGUUCAUCCUGCACGGUCGGCGACAUGUGACCGUAAGCUCGCCGGGUCAGGCCCUCGAUGUCGUUAACCAACGAUCUGAGCGAUUCUCCCGGUAACCUUACUCUACGGCCCAGUGCCGGAAGAAUUAGUUCAGGAUGUCUGUCACGACCGUAUCUCCGAGUAAGUGCCCCGACUAGCGCCCCAUAAUCACGUCUUUGAUCCGGGCUAAGCAAUAUCAGGCAAGCAACUGCUUCUCCGGAUAGGCACAUCGCUAACUGCAGCGCUCUCUGCUCCUCCUUCCAGCCAACCGAGUCUGCUAAAAGUUCGAAUUGGGCCAUGAAAGCUUCAAAGUCGGCAUCACCAGAGAACUUAGGUGUCUUCACGCUACAGUUAGCCACCGGGUACUGCGCCGCGCCAUCUUUGUUGACAUUGCCAUAGUAAUGCUGAUCGUCGCGCCGUGACGUCGGCAUUGGGUCCUUUAUGUCCGGAGCGGCGCCCUGUAGUUGCGUCAGAUCCAGCUUGGCGGGUAAAGCACCGACGAAGACGUUCUCUCUCCCCCUCAGGUCUCGCGCCCAGCAUCUUCCCUCACGCGACUCGAUACGUUAUCCGAGUUGACGACUAAACUAGCCCUCCGACCGAGGCGGCAGUUCGAAAGCACUUCUGACACCAGUGUAACACCCCUGGUCGGGAUGCUAAAUCAGGAGCCGGAGUCAGAGGAGUGGAGCCACGAGAGAGAGAGAGCUUCCCAAAACCCCACCUUAUAUAAGCUAUGGCCUGAGACCCCUGGACCCGCCCCUGCUUUCCCCAAGUCCCCCAGAGAUGCCCUCCUCACUGCGGGACAUCCCACCAGGUAAACCAGCCCCACCUAACUGUCAGGCCCCACCCC